AUUCAUUUGUAUAUAAAUUCAUUAAUAAAAGUUAUAUAUAUUUAUUUAUUUAAUCCAGGUCCCAUAUGUCCAAGAAGCAACAUGCCCAAGGCAGGAUAAGGAAGGAAGGAAGGAAGGAAGCAGUGUCUCUAAGAACCACAGUUCACAGUGUCGGGCCUCUAAAGAGAUCUGAAGAAACAGAAACCCAUGAAUCAAGAAUAAGAUAAGGCUAUUUGGUUUGUUUCAACCUGUGUGCCGUUUAGUUCCCUAUCAGAGCCCUGCCUGGAGAAUGAAAUCAUUUCCAUCACUCAGCCCUUCCAAAGAUCAUCAAACACAAACACACCGUCUGCUCUUUCAUUUCCUCUGUGUCCAGGGUGUGUACUGACUUGGUGGAAUUUCUGGGACCAGCUGUGGAUUACGUAUCAAACAAAAAAACGGCCGGAAGUUGGCUCUGGGGAGAGUGAGCCUUAAAUGCUGUUUGCUUACCCUGACUAGGAGUGAGCCUCUGGUGGCUUCUUAGACUGUCUCUGCCUUCCUCCCAGCCUAAGGGACAUAUGAAAAGGCAGUUCUGGGGUGUGGGACCUACUUUCAAUGAUUUGGUUCUCCUCUCACCACAUUCACCCUUAUUGUACCUAGACCAGCUGCUACACCUGGAAAGGAUGGAAGUGAUCUUUUUUAAUCUCUCAAGGUCUUACCCCACUGUCCUGGGCUGAAUUAUGUCCCGCCUAAUUCAUACGGUGAAGUCCUAACCUAACUCUCAGUACCUCGGAAGGUAACCAUCCUUGGAGAGGGGCUUUUUAAAGAGAUGGUCAAGUUAGGAGGAGCUCAUUAGGGUGGGCCCUACACCAGAAUGACUGGUGUCCUUAGAAGAAGAGAUCUGGGUGCACAGGUACAGAUUAAGGGAGAGAGGGAGAGGACAGCCUCCUGCAAGCCAAGCUCAGAGGCCGCUGACACCUUGAUCUUGGACUCAGCCUCCAGAGUGUGAGAAAAUACAGUCUUGUUGUUGAAGCCACCCUGUCUGUGGUGCUUUGUCACAGACCGAGACACCUAUCAAUGGGAAGUUCACAGCCCUGAUGUUGGACUUCAGAAAAGUUUUGAAAGUAAUAACCAAAAAUAUCCAAAGGCAAAAAUCUGGUGUUUUGGUAAAGAUUUUUUUUUUUUUUUUUACCGACUUCAGCAGGUCUAACGGAGGCAGUGAAGGCUAGGACCCAGAAUGCCCAGAGAGCAGUAGGGUCACUUACUAGGUGUCUGGGGCAUGAUCAAGAGACACUUCAUAGCUUGGCACUUGUAAUCCCAGCAGCUUGGGAGGCUGAGGCAGGAGGAUUGAAAGUUCAAAACCAGCUUCAGCAACUUAGUGAGGCCCUAAGCAACUCGGUGAGAUCCUAUUUCAAAAUUAAAAAGAAUAAAAAGGGCUGAGGAUGUGGCUCAGUGGUUAAGGGCCCUGGUUCAAUUCCUGAUACCAAAAAAAAAAAAAAAAGUUACUUCAUCCCUUCAAUCCCUCUCCUCUUCUCCUGCUGUUACUCUUUGACUCUUCUUCCCCCCAGCCCUUCCCACAACACUGCUUUAUUAUCCAGUAAGUCAGAAGAAAGGAGAAAUUUGCAUUUGCCCUUCUGACAUAGCAUUGUGCAAAUCCUGAUGCUGUUUUGGGUAUUUUUGUUGGGCGGGCUGGGGGGUUGAUAUGGGUUGAAGAGGCAGCUGCUGGAGUCUAAGCAGGGGGGUGAAUGGGUGGGUGGCAGGCAGAGGGGCCCCUAAAGAUGGUGACAUCCUAAUCUAUGACUGUUAUCUCACAUGACAAGGGGGACUUUCAUGAUGUGAUUAAAAUCUUAAAAUGGAAUGGUCAUCCUUGAUUAUCUCAGUGGGGUCAGUGUAAUCACAUGGGUACUUAUAAAAGGGAGGCCAGAAGUUCAGAGACAAAGGAGACCAGGGAAAGGGGGUGGGGAGGUUUGAAGAUCUAUCCUGCUGCUGGCUUAGAGGAUGGAAUUAGGGGCCACCAGCCAAGGAAUGCAGGUAGAUUGUCAGGGACAAUAAACCACUGAGCCACAUCCCCAGACGUAUUUUGUAUUUUAUUUAGAGACAGAGUCUCACUGAGUUGCUCAGCAUCUUGCUGUUGCUGAAGCUUUGAACUUGUGAUCCUCCUGCCUCAGCCUCCCAAGCCACUGGGAUUAUAGCUGUGUGACACUGUGCCUGGCUGCAGGUAGCUUUUUGGAGCUGGGAAAGGUAGGUAAAUGGAUUCUCCUUUUAGAACCUCAAUAAAAAGAACACAGCCCUGAUGACUCAUUUUUCGACUCCUGACCCCCAGAACUGUCAGUUAUUUGAGUUGUUUUAAGUGACCAAGUUUGUGGAGUUUGUUGCAGCAACCACAGGAAACCAAAACAGGAUCAAGAUCCUUGAGAACGGCUGCUAUGACAUUUAGACAGGCGGUACUCAGAGCUCAGAAAACAAAACGCAACGAAAAAGAGACAAAGCUUCCAUGCCUUAAAAACAGGGUGCUCAAACGGUGGUCUCCCUGCCACAGUGCAGCAGCACCUGCGAACUGGUGGGUCCAGUCCUCUCAGGCUCCCCCAGCACUGUGGGAUCAUAAACUUUGGCAAUGGGUCUGGUGACGGGCCCUUCCCAGGGUUCUGCUGCACACUAAGGUUCCCUGUAGAAAGAUGUGAAUGGGGCUUCUUCUUGGUGGAUGGAGGGUACCUGUGGACCCUGUGUGUUUGUAUUUAUGCAUGCGCAUGCUUGUGUGUGUGUGUGUGUGUCUUGGGUGCAUAGGCUCCCACUGAAUGCACAAUUACAAUGAUUAUUUCAUAACUUAAGCUUGGGUUGGAAUCUUGGAAGGAUGGGGGCCAAGUCAUUCUCCCAAAGAUGGGCUCUGUGGGAGGAGGGAGAGCCCAGAAUUCAGCUUCCAUGUGCUCACAGUCCCUGCCUCUUCAGGCUGUGCUGGUGUGAAUCAGAGUGGAUCCUGGUGACUGCCCGCACUAUCCCCUUACUUGUCCCAGCCUGGGGCUUCCUCUAACUUUCCCCUCUCUCUGCCUGAGGCAAUCCUAAACUGGCUAGGUGGGAAGAUAAAGUACUCACUUUCAAAAUGCUAGUGACCCUGUAAAGGUUGAAAUCACACAGAUAUUGAUUCCUGGAUGUGUCUCUUAGUAGCUGGGUGACCAUGGGUGCUUAGUUUCUGAGUCUCUGUGUAUUUAUCUGUAAAAUGGGUACGCUGAAAACAUGCCCUGCUAGAAGCACUGGGAAGACUAAAUGAGGUCAAGUACAUUAAAGUCCUUUUGUGAAGGACCCAGAGAAAGGAAAAGCUUAAUACUGUGGUUCUUAUGUAAUGAAUUAUAAUUAAUAUCUAUUGUCAUUUAUAUCAGCCUUAUUUCCAAGCGUCACAUGUUAGGAAUACACAUAAAUACACGUAAGUUCAAGUUCACCUACAUAAGGAAUUCAAUUUUUUUUUUUUUUUUGGUAGUAGGGAUCCAACCCAGGUCCUCACAUAUGCUAGGCAAGGGCUCCCACUGAACUGUGUCCACAGCCCUUGGGAGUCUUUUCACAGAGAUUUGGAGAACCUGGCAUGCAGGAGGCCCUGACUUGGAUCCCCAGCACAGAAGGGGGAAGGAAAAAAGUGCCCUGGGGACUUAAGGUGUUCCUCGGGCUCCUGCUAAUGGACCUUUUUGCAGCGGGGUGGGCCUGCACGGGGACCUGGCAGCAUCUCAGCACAGCUGCUCGGGUACCUCACUGCCUGCAUUCCUCUGACUGGUUACGACAGGUCUGGUACUUUUCCUCCCUCCUCCUCGGCAGGGCCUCCACAUCGUGCAGACAGCUGCUGCCACAUUCCACUGCUCCAGAAGCGGAAGUAAGGCUCAUUCAGGACCUUUCUGGGUGACUUGACAGCAUUUGAUAUGAGAUUAACCAAAUGCCAGUGUUGGGGGAAAACCAGCUUUCCCCUGAGUCACCUCCACCCGCCUUUCUCAGGACACAGACACUGAG
rnacentral:lncRNA from 1 species